rnacentral:rRNA from 1 species
AUUGAACGCUGGCGGCAGGCCUAACACAUGCAAGUCGAGCGAGCGGCGGACGGGGGUGUACAGUAUGGAGACUGCCCGAUAGAGGGGGAUAACUACUGGAAACGGUAGCUAAUACCGCAUACUAUCGGAUAACCCAUAUGGGAUUAGCUAGUAGGUGAGGUAAUGGCUCACAGAGGCGACGAUCCCUAGCUGGGCUGAGAGGAUGAUCAGCGACACUGGGCCGGAGACACGGCCCAGACUCCUACGGAGGCAGCAGUGGGUAAUAUCGGACAAUGGGGGCAAGCAUGAUGCAGCCAGGCCGUGUGUAGGAAGAAGGCCCUAGGGUUGUAAAGUACGUUCAGUCGGGAGGCGUUACCGACAGAAGAAGCACCGGCUAACUCCGUGCCAGCAGCCGCGGUAAUUC